rnacentral:rRNA from 1 species
CAUGGAGGGUGAGAAUCCCGUCCGGUUAAAUCUUAUGACGCUUUACGAUACGCUUUCUAAGAGUCGAGUUGUUUGGGAUUGCAGCUCAAAAUGGGAGGUAAAUUUCUCCUAAGGCUAAAUAUAGGCGAGAGACCGAUAGCGAACAAGUACCGUGAGGGAAAGAUGAAAAGAAUUUUGAAAAGAAAGUCAAACAGUACGUGAAAUUGUUGAAAGGGAAACGAUUGAAGCCAGUCGUACCGACGGGAAUUCAACUUCUCGAGUGCUAAUCGUGGGUGACGUUGAGCCUCACGGCCUUCGUUGCUUGUGUUGUUGGUGCUUUUGGGGUGUACUUUUCCGUAUGGUAGGUCAGCAUCGAUUUCGAUCGUCAUAAAAUGAUCGGGGGAAUGUAGCUUCGGUCUCGUAUCGGAGUGUUAUAGACCUUGGUAGAUGUGACGAUUGGGAUCGAGGAUUGCAACGAAUACCCUCUGGGCUAUCCGUCUGACCUCUGAAAGUCGCUCGGGUGUCGAAAGCGUGCUUAUGGCUAUUCGAGUUGGCGGUCAACAGGUUAGAACGUGAUUACAUUCGUUAAGGAUGUUGACGUA